rnacentral:rRNA from 1 species
UACGUAGGUGGCAAGCGUUGUCCGGAAUCACUGGGCGUAAAGGGCGCGUAGGCGGCCUGAUAAGUAGGGGGUGAAAUCCUGCGGCUUAACCGCAGGGCUGCCUUCUAAACUGUCAGGCUCGAGCACAGUAGAGGCAGGUGGAAUUCCCGGUGUAGCGGUGGAAUGCGUAGAGAUCGGGAAGAACAUCGGUGGCGAAGGCGGCCUGCUGGGCUGUUGCUGACGCUGAGGCGCGACAGCGUGGGGAGCAAACAGG